rnacentral:tRNA from 1 species
GUGUGUGUGUUUCAGUUAGUAGAGGGCUUGCCUAGCAUCCAAGAAGCCCUGGAUUCAAUUCCCAGCACCACA